CGUUUUCAAAUUGUUUGUAUUAGCAUCAGAUUAGCAUCAUCCCUGGCUACCAAAAACAGUUUGCCGGGAUUUAUUGUUAAAGUAGUCGAUAGCGUCGCGUCACCAAAGUUUAGACCGCUUUCCAAAUGCGCAGUCUUGAACAGUGAUGAACAAAACGAUCUACAAUGGCAGAGGCGCCAAUCAACUUCAAAGCUUUGAGGGCCAAGUUUCAGGAAGAGGCCCUUCUGGCUCAAUGCAAAGCCGGACGACCAGCUGUUGCAGAAAAACCCAAACUCCUCCCACCUCCUGGAGGUCACUGCAGCUCUGUGGUUAGCAAUAUUAGUAUUGCUGUAGAAAACAAGACACCAGUGCCUCCCCGGGUCAUCUUCAGAGAUGGGCUGCGCGCAUCUGGAGGCAAGCGCCCAAUUUCCUUUCCACCACAACUUCAGCAGACGUCCCCCUUAUCUCAGCCUGCUAAUGGAGACAGCACAACAAGGCAGUCCCUUAAGGUGCGACACAUGCCUCUGGUGCUUCCUGUUCAGCCUGUAAAAGAGCAGAAGGUAGAACCACCACUCAGAAAGGAGCACAAACUGGAACCAGAGCCAGUAAAAGAAAUCCUGCCACAAACUAAAAUCAAGAAGAAGGGUUUGCUGCUUCCUUUCAAGUCAGCCAAAGCAUCAAAAGUCAGUGGAGAAAAUGGAGAGGAGCCCACUUAUGCUGAUUUGACCACGAGACCUUCUAGUGCUCCCGGCGAGAUGCCCUCAGUGGAAAAACAAACCACAGAAGAUGGGGUUUUACUCCAAAGUGACCAAUCAACUGCUGAGUGCCCCCUCUCAAGCCCAGAUAUACCGAUCACCCCUCCUCCUGCAGAGACAAGUGUAGACUCCGACAGCAGAAUCAUUAGCACUUUGGAGAGGGCCAAGAAAAAGUUCUCACGCCGGCAGAUGCUAAUAUCCACAAAACACAAGAGCUUGCGUUCCCCCGACUGCAACUCAAAAGACAAGGCUUUCCCUUCGCCACCAAAGAACACUGACAGUGUUGGGUCUGACCUCCCCGUGCCCCCACCAGUCUGUUUUCCACACCUGGCUUGUAUUUCAGCCCGGCCUUUCUUCAAAGCUAACUCUGCACAUAAGUCUGCACUGACUAAGCAGUUUGGCAGGGGUCAAGCAGAACUUCCCUCUUUGAGGACUGGUGAACCUCAUCCAGCCCCAGCUCCUCCAAAGAAACCUCUACCUGACCUGAGGUCACUCGGGCCACUGCCAGCAAAGCCCCCCAGACCUCCAUUAGUAGAUCUCAGCCGUUACCAUCUGACCACAGUCCAUGAGGUGUCACCAGGCCUUAGCCAAGCACCAACUGAAGAGCCAGAGUCUGAGCUCCCAUCCAUCACCAUCCCUCUGCUGGACGCUCCAGAGUUUCCAGAGUUUGAGAAUUCAGAGAUUGAAACAGCAGAGGGAGAAGCUGUGUUUGUUGCUCCACUAGAAUUGGAGGCUUUAGACUUUGACCUUCCUAUACCAGCUGACUUUGGGGUCACAGAUUUUGUGGCUUCCCACCCUGAUUUGUCAGUUUGCGAUCAUGCAGAGCCCAGUGCCAGCUGUAUCAUCCAAGAUCUGAACCUUGGCAGUCAAAACAUAAUACCUCUUGAUCCAGCCAGCUUCCCUGAACCAAUAAACCUUUCAGAGUUCCCAGUGCCGGCUGCACCAGAGCAGUGGUCUCAGAGUGAAGAGGCGAUCGUAGAUCCUCUUUCUAACUCUCAAGCUGGUGAGGCUGAUCUGGGAGCUGCUGAGUGCCACUCUUUCCCAGAGGAGCUUAAUAGCCACACAGAACUGAAUGAUGGCAUUCAGCCAAAUCCAAAUGUGUCUCAGGACAGUUACUAUGAAACGUGUGAUAAUGUGUACGAGGAUGUUGAAAACGUCAAUAAAUUCAUCUUGGGCCAGAACUCUCGUAAACGUAAAGCUGGUCUGAAGAAUCCAUAUGCUGUGAACCCACCAAUGAAGGAGGAGGCGUGUAACAUAUGGCCACGGAAUCCGUGGGGCAGUGUAUCAGGAGAACAUGCUCAUUCUGCCUAUAAUCAUGUCCACAGUAAAGAACGCCAAAGCCCCAACACUGCCGACUUUAAAGAGCAGAAGAAGAGGGAGAAGCAACGACUGGAGAAGGAGAAAAAGGAGCAAAAAGAAAGGGAGAAGAAAGAAAAUGAAAUGAAAAAGAAGUUUAAGGUGACUGGUGAUGAGGAGCCCAUGUACCACGCCAAGGUGAUGGUGGCCAGUAAAGUCCGUAAGAAUGACCUUCCAGUGAAGAGCGGGGACACGGUCAGCAUCAUCCGCACCACCAACUGCCCCAAAGGCAAAUGGCUGGCUCGAGACGUCAACCACAAAUAUGGUUAUAUUUCAGUCAUGAAUGUGGAGCUAAAUAUCAAGGAAAUGCUGGAACUUGGCAAGAAGGCCCAGGCAGCAGGACGAGGAGGAAACCUGGAGGGAGAUACCAUCAGCAUUGGCAGCAGAUCCUCCAGCCACCUUGUUCUAACAAGCAGCUUCACAGAUGACAGUGAGGAGUGGGCCUGUGAAGAUGAGACUCUCUCACCCUCCAAUGAAAGCCAUUACUUUCCCCAGCAGACUUCCUCCAUGUCUGAGUUGUCUUGUAGCCAUGUCAGCGCCCAGCACACUCUGAGCGAUGCCAACCUGGAGGACCUGCACACACAGACGAGACAUGAAGCCCUGCAGAAGUUAGCCAUCUUCUUUCAACACAGCAAAGAUGAAUUCGUUGAUGUCACUGAUGGUGAAGGAGCAACACCCACAAACUGAGAGGAGAGCACUUGCAAGUUACUUCAGUCUAAACACUGGUUGGCGUCUGGUCUGUCAUGGAAAAUAACUUGUGAGGAGCAUUUAUCUGUUUCGAGUAACUUGGAGACAGAGUGUUGGUGUUGGACGUCUUGCAGAGACAGCAGUUCAAAGUUAAAGUCAUCUUCGUAUCUUCUUGUCUUUAUCCAGACUUCUUGUGUGCUGUUGAAGAGCCUCCAUAUCCUGAACAAGAGGUCGACUUCACAGAGCUGGAGUUCCUUCCUCCUCCACCACUAUAUGCUGACACCUUCUGAUUAGCACAUCAGCUAAAGCCGGGAAUGUCAGUGUGGAAAAACCUCAACUCUACAGUUUAUCCUUAGGGUUUCAUACCAUGAAGAAGAUCUGCCAUCGAGACUUCCUUGUCAAGUAUUUAGAAAAUGUUUUUUUUGAUCAUGAACGGAGCUGCUGAUGCGACUGUAUUAUAAUCCAGAUUUCACUUUUUUUCGUUUACUUUGUUGUGCAUAUUGUUGAAUUUUCACUUUGUGUUCCGCACUUUUUCUUUUCUCUGAAGUUGCUGUUAAAAAGAGUGAAUGGUGCACAAAUUAAAUAAUUGCACUUUGUCCAAAAAUUUGACAUUAAAGAAGCCAAUUGUUCACUUGUAAUAGCUUAUGUUUGUGUUUGUCAAUAUGUUCUUUGCAUUUGGAUUAUUUUGGUUUGUGUGGUACAUCUAAUAAAUAUUUGCCAUUA